rnacentral:sRNA from 1 species
AAGUAAGGAACAUCGACUAAGACCUGCCACAUCGUGUGGCAAACAUCGACGCCAGCCCAUCCUGGGCA